AAACCAGCACCUCAAGUGGUCAGGAUGAUUAUUGGGCCUAAAGCAUCCGUAGCCGGCUCUGUAAGUUUUCGGUUAAAUCUGUACGCUUAACGUACAGGCUGCCGGGAAUACUGCAGAGCUAGGGAGUGGGAGAGGUAGACGGUACUCGGGAGGAAGUGGUAAAAUGCUUUGAUCUCUCGAUGACCACCUGUGGCGAAGGCGGUCUAUCAGAACACGUCCGACGGUGAGGGAUGAAAGCUGGGGGAGCAAACCGGAUUAGAAACCCCUGUAGUCC
rnacentral:rRNA from 1 species